GUGCCAGCCGCCGCGGUAAUACGGAGGGAGCUAGCGUUGUUCGGAAUUACUGGGCGUAAAGCGCACGUAGGCGGCCAUUCAAGUCAGAGGUGAAAGCCCGGGGCUCAACCCCGGAACUGCCUUUGAAACUAGAUGGCUUGAAUCUUGGAGAGGCGAGUGGAAUUCCGAGUGUAGAGGUGAAAUUCGUAGAUAUUCGGAAGAACACCAGUGGCGAAGGCGACUCGCUGGACAAGUAUUGACGCUGAGGAGCGAAAGCGUGGGGAGCGAACAGGAUUAGAUACCCUGGUAGUCCACGCCGUAAACGGUGGGUACUAGGUGUGGGUUUCCUUCCUUGGGAUCCGUGCCGUAGCUAACGCAUUAAGUACCCUGCCUGGGGAGUACGGCCGCAAGCUAAAACUUAAAGGAAUUGACGG
rnacentral:rRNA from 1 species